GCCCCAGCGCCAUUUUGUGAGAGCGAAGCGGUCGCUGGGCUGCUCCUGGAUCCCCGGCUGCUUGACUCUCCCUGUCGGGCCUCCUGUCAGCGGCCUAGCGGAAAAACGGAAGAUGUCGGAAUAUAUCCGGGUAACGGAAGACGAGAAUGACGAGCCCAUUGAAAUUCCAUCGGAAGACGACGGGACGGUGCUGCUGUCCACGGUCACGGCCCAGUUUCCGGGGGCCUGCGGGCUGCGCUACCGGAACCCCGUGUCGCAGUGCAUGCGCGGCGUCCGGCUGGUGGAGGGCAUUCUGCACGCCCCGGACGCCGGCUGGGGCAACCUGGUGUAUGUGGUCAACUACCCCAAAGAUAACAAAAGGAAAAUGGAUGAAACAGAUGCUUCAUCAGCAGUGAAAGUGAAAAGAGCCGUCCAGAAAACAUCUGAUUUAAUAGUGUUGGGUCUCCCAUGGAAAACAACUGAGCAGGAUCUAAAAGAAUAUUUUAGUACCUUUGGAGAAGUUCUUAUGGUUCAGGUCAAGAAAGAUAUUAAAACUGGUCAUUCAAAAGGGUUUGGGUUUGUUCGAUUUACGGAAUAUGAAACCCAGGUGAAAGUAAUGUCACAGAGACAUAUGAUAGAUGGCCGAUGGUGUGACUGUAAACUUCCUAAUUCUAAGCAAAGCCCAGAUGAGCCUCUGCGAAGCAGAAAGGUGUUUGUUGGGCGUUGUACAGAGGACAUGACGGCUGAUGAGCUGCGGCAGUUCUUUUGCCAGUACGGAGAAGUGGUAGAUGUCUUCAUUCCCAAACCAUUCAGGGCCUUUGCCUUUGUUACAUUUGCAGAUGAUCAGGUUGCCCAGUCUCUUUGUGGAGAGGACUUGAUCAUUAAAGGAAUCAGCGUACAUAUAUCCAAUGCUGAACCUAAGCACAAUAGCAAUAGACAGUUAGAAAGAAGUGGAAGAUUUGGUGGUAAUCCAGUUCAUCUCAUUUCAAAUGUUUAUGGAAGAAGCACUUCAUUGAAAGUAGUGCUGUAAAUAUUCUGCCAUAGGAAUACUUCUGUCUACAUGCUUUCUCAUUCAAGAUUCCGUCAUCACACUGCACAGGCUGCGUCUUUGACGCCCUGAAUGCAAAGAAUUCAUAGCAGUUAAUUCCCCUUUUUUGACCCUUUUGAGAUGGAACUUUCAUAAAGUUUCUUGGCAAUAGUUUAUUUUGCUUCAAAUAAACUUAUUUGAAAAGUUGUCUCAAGUCAAAUGGAUUCAUCACCUGUCAUGCAUUGACACCUGAUACCCAGACUUAAUUGCUAUUUGUUCUUGCAUUGUCCAAAGUGAAAAGUUGUUUUGUUUUUCUUUUUAAACCUAUCUUUUAAUAAGUCUGGGUGACCGCACCUAAAAUGCACUUGCACUAUUACUCAGCAGCAGUAACAUGGUAACACUUAAAAUGGUAUUCGGGGACCUCCAAAGACUAAACUGACAAGCCUUCAAGGAGCCCAGGGGUAAGUUACCUUGUCAAUGGCAUGGUUUUAAUCCCUCUUUACACUUGUGUAAACCUAGUAACUGGUCUUGGAAGGCUUUCAAUGUUGAGUAGCCUUCUCUUAAUAUGUUUGUGGUAAUCCAUAGCUAUGGGCAUUUAAUUCUACCCUAAACUUUUUUUUUUUUAAGUUUAGAAGUAAACUAUUUGGCAAAGAUUUGUUUUUAAAGUCUAUUUGGUCAUCUAAAUGCAUUCAUUCUAAACAUUUUUUGAACCAGUUGAAUAAAAAUUUUUGUUGCCACCAGUUUAGUGUCUGGCGUCUUACUGGAAACACAGUUUCCUUUUUCUAUGUGACAAAGAUGCUGAAAGUUACCUUUAAAAAGUGAGUCUCAAGAAGUUGCACUUUACAUGCACAAGAGAAAUUAGGGCAGAACUCACAAUGAAUUUUUAAAUACAAUGGUAACUCUGGCUAGAAUGAAAAGCUUUGUUAGAUGUUAGCUAUUAACUCUUUUUAGGAAGGACUAGCCAACUAAAAUGAAAUAUUUUUAAGCCUAAGACAGAGCUUAAAUUUUGUCCUUAGGAAAAAGAAGUUAACUACUUAAUUUGGAAGAUGUAUGUGAUAAUUAGAAUAAUUUGUUUUUGAGUACUAGGACAAUAGCUCUUAAUUGUGUAUUCAGGUUCUAUACUCGUAUUGUGUGAUCUGUGAUCUAUUGUUUGGCUAACUGUGACCCUCUUUUACAUGUUUAUCAUAAGAAGGAAAAAAAAUACAGAUUUAUCUAUAGUACCACCAUUUACUUCUGGUGUCAUAUUUCAUCUUAUGGAAAUGCCACAUUUAAUUCCAUUGUCUUCUGAAUUUGAACGUUAUUUAGGUUAUUUCCAAGUGCUGGGAGCGUGGCUAAAUUAAGUUCUUAGCAUUGGAAUUACUAGGUUAAAGACUAUGCAUGCUUUUAAGGCUUUUGAAAUACAUUGCAAAAUUUUCCUUUAGAAAAUUUGUGUUGUAUUUGACAAUGUGAAUAGUGCUACUCCAUGUUCAUUUUGUCUACCAAUUUGAUAAGUGCAAAAUUAUAUCGCUGUUUUUGUGAUACUGGUUUUUAACAUGGAAAUUAGUACCUAGGCUAAAGUAUUGAUGUUUCUAGUUCAUCUACAAAAAUCUAUGAUUCAGGGUUACCCUGAAUUAAUACUGCUGUGAUAUAAAAAGCUCUCUUAGAGAUCCAUAAGAAUAAGUCGAAAAAUACUCAAAGACCAUGUACAGGCCAUUUCCGGAAAUGCAAUAAAAAAACCAGUACAAAAGGAUACUGGACUCUAAGUAACACAGUGCAAUCUGACCAGUGAGUUUCUAUUGCUCAGGCAAAGACGAACAUCACUGUGGUUCAUACCCCCUUGAACCACAAGGUAAAGGGUAAAACGCUGGCCAGCCUCUCCCUGCAGUUCGGUUUUGGUUUUUGGGUGGGCGGGCGACAGUGGCUGUACUAAUGUUCCUUGGGUCACAUUGCUGCUGUGAUCUUUUACAGGCAUUUUUAAAAGGCAUUUACUGAUUGAAAACAUACAAAUCAAAAGUUAUUCAUUAUUUUCUUGAUCCAGGGAAUAUAGUUAAUGACUUUUGUGUAAACCCCAUACACUUGUGCUUCUCCACAAUUAUUGGAGCCCCAGGACACUAUUCCUCCCACAAACCACCUGUGUGUCUCAUUGUCUAGAAACACUAAUGCCCCUCCACUGUCGCCUCCACAGCUAUCCUUGCCCCCACUCUGUACACCAGCACAAAGCAUGUUGUCAGUUACCUUGGCCUCUGGAUUCAGCUUCUUUUCAUAGGCAGCAGCACAUGUUUGAUGAUCAACAAUUGGUAUGUCAACAAACUUCAGACUUCGGGCAAGAAAACCCCUUUGGGUUAAUCCCCAUCCGGAUACAGUUCCAAUGUCAUUUGUCCUCAUGAAGGAUUCAGCUGCUUCUCCUGGCAAGCAGAUAGGCAUGAUGCUGCUGUUGAUGGCAACUUUGUUCUGCAGUUUAAUCAGCGCUAUGUCGUUAUCAAAACCAGCAGCAUGCCUGUAGCCCUCAUGGAUGAAAAUGGCCUCUGCCCAGGCUUGUGUGUGAUGAGGCGACAAUCUCUUCAGGGCACCCAUUCGAAUGUUCAGGGAGGAGGCAUCUUCUUUUUGCUCGUAUACGGCAUGAGCAGCCGUUAGGAUCCAGUUGUCAUUCAAAAGUGCACCUGCUGCUGUGGUGUCGCCUAAUAGUAGCAGGACUUGCCAAGGAAAAUCGCCAAGCUUUGCAUUUUGCCCUCCAUAUAUACGACCUUCUGUUGUACGGGCUGAUAGUCCACAAACUGGGGAAAGAAGCAGAUAGGUAGAGCCUUGGUAGAAACCCAGUGGUGCUUUUCUCCACCCACCACUUCGGACUUGUUAAUAUUUCAUGUCAACCCAAAAUGGUAUCACCUAAAUCGGCGGGUGCCCACCUGUACAGGCAGGUGAGGCUGCCUUAAAACAGCACAGUCCAAAGACCCCAUGGGGAGUUCUUAGCUCCUCAGAAAAUGAGGUGGGUAAAAUUUCUUUUAGAAGCUGUAUUUGUUUUGCAAAAAAAAUAAAAGGUCUACACAGUUGGGGGGUUAUUUAUUAGGGCAAGCGGGAAUUGGCUGAGCUGAUGCAUUGGGUGAUGUGAAUAGGAAGUGGAAGGAAAUAACCUUUUCAUUGCUUCUGUUAUCCCACUUUAAAAUGGGGUGUUCACCAGGUAGUUCUGUGAAAGCAGGAACUAGGUCACUGUCAUCGGAUUGGCAAAAUUAAUUUGACUUUUGAACAUUUAAAUGUUUCACAAAUUAGAAUGUCGCAGCUAUAGCCAGGAACCUUCAGGGUCAGAAAUUAUUUGUCAUCUAGUUGAUGCUUUCAAACACUAAGUUUUACUCUAUAUUACUAAGGGAAUACACUCAAUGUACCAAAUGUUUCCUACUGUGGCAGAAUACUUGCAUUGAAACUUGUAAACGUGGUGUCAGCUAAAAUCAAAUAACUAAUUUAAGCCAAAUAACACAGGGGUAAUGAAUAUAUUAUUACCUUUCUGAUUUUUUUAAUAUCUACUCAACUAUAUCUUCAGAGCCAAUUCUGGUAAAAAAAAAAUUUUAAGUACUAUUAAAAGGCAAAUUACAUUAAUGUUUAAAAAUUAGAUGUCAUUGAAAACAAUUGCUUAGGGAAAUAAUGAAGUUAUUAGCUUUGGGUUUUAAUAGCAUUUUUAACAGGGAAGAAAAGUAACAACAGAGGAACUUAAGUUUAUAAAUGUAUAAAUGGUUCAAGAUAAUUUAAAAAAUCAUUUAAUUUUUUAUGCUUGCCUAGUUGUAAGGCCAAAAUAAUCAAAUGACUGAUGCAGUCAGCACCUAACAACCUCUCCACAUGGAAAGGGGAUAAUGAGGAUGUAUUAUUUGGAAAUAAUAACUUGGUCUAAGAGCCAAGUACCGAAGUUACAUUUCUGCCUACCACAGCUAAAGCUCUACUUAUUGUCUCCGACCCAUUCCACUUUCCAUCAAUUACGAAUCUCUUGUAUAAAUGUAUCCAUUACCAGGCUCACAGACUGGGAGUGAUUUUUCUCCUUUGGAGCUCGUCCAGAAUCCAUCAGCCUCACACACAUAUUUACCUGCAAAUCAUUGGAAAAGCAAAAAUGUUGAACUGCAUGUAUAAGGUGGUUGUCAUUUGCUUGAAUACCCCCUUAAAAAUGUUGAUUCCUGAGCAUCCGUGGGAAAUAGAGGUGUCUGAAUAACCAUUUUACAUGAUUUCCUAAAUGGGAGGUCUCGGCAUUACCAUGUUUGCUUGCAAAGUGGAAACCUUUUAGAUGUGUAACUUGAAUAUGUAUCAAGAUCUCAAGUGCUUAAUGAUAAGGUUUUGACUUGUUAAAUUAAACCAUUUGGAAUAUA